CGAACUCAGCAUGCUCUUCUCGAUUAUCGUAAUCAGGAGAUGUAUCCGACUGCUCCACCACACAAAAUACAGGAAUCAUCAAACCUAGCCUAAAGCCUUCUCAUCCCACAAAAAAGCACAUACAGAAGAUACUGAUGUCAAUGGAUGUCCCGUGCACAAAUCAAAGCAAACCAUCUGACAGAAAGUCUCCAUAGGACUACAUGGUCCCAAGCAUUUGAAAGAGUAUGAAUCAACCUGACAGUUAAGUGCAUCUACACGUGCGCUUUAAUGCACAGUAGCUUAUUUUGCUGAGCAUUAAAGCGUCAUGUA